CCCUUAGAUGUUCUGGGCCGCACGCGCGCUACACUGAUGCAUUCAACGAGUCUAAAACCUGCUCUGAUAGGGGUGGGUAAUCUUUUGAAUGUGCAUCGUGAUUGGGAUAGAUGAUUGCAAUUUUUCAUCUUCAACGAGGAAUGCCUAGUAAACGAAAGUCAUCAGCUUGCAUUGAUUACGUCCCUGCCCUUUGUACACACCGCCCGUCGCUCCUACCGAUUGAAUGAUCCGAUGAAUAUCAUGGAUUGAGGAUGCAAGUAGGUUCGCCUAUCUUCAUCUUCGAGAAGUGAAGUAAAUCUUAUCAUUUAGAGGAAGGAGAAGUCGUAACA
rnacentral:rRNA from 1 species